GGAUGAAUGAGUGGGUCUGCUCAUGUGAAUAGCCUGUGCUGGUAUUGACUGCACGCGUGGUGCUGUGGUCACAGCCCUGCCCUUGGCAGCUUCUGAGUGUCUGGUCAGAAGGAAGCCCAGGGCCAGUAGCCAGUGUGGUCCUGGCGCCCGUGGUGUGUGGCCUGGCUCAGCCAGGUCACACAUUGUUCCCACUUGGAGCUCAUGUGCUUCCAUUGUGUGGCAACCGCCUGGGCGCAUAGCUCCCAGAUGUGUUGUGGGGACAGACUCCCAGAGAGCAGUUUCCAGGCUGUCGGCCUCAAGUGGAGGGGUGCUGGCUCAGGUAGUAGAUGGCCAUCAGCUGUGACUAGUUGGCUAUCAGCUGUAACCAGUUGGCCAUAGCCACUGAUACAACUGCCGUGGCUACGCUAGCAAGCACGGAUUGCAGUUGGCAAGUGGGGUUGGUUGGUUGGAAGAGAAGCAGAUGGCGGACUGUACAUCGUGUGGCUCCUGCUCCCUGUGUCUCCAACCCAGCCACCAGCGAGACUAUAGUGGAUUGCGAGUGCUCACAAAGGACUGUGAUGAUUGACAGCUGGCUGAACACGCUGGAAAGGAGAAGACAUAGAGGCGGUGAAAUUGUGUCCCUCUGGCUGCCAAGUGAAUGAGUCAGGGAGUGAAUGAGUUUCCUGUGUGCCCACUGUGUGCCAGGCGCUGAGGACGGCCCUGGAGAGAGAAAGUGUACAGGCCCUCAUGUGCCAAGGAGGUCUGUCUGGCCAACUCCCUUCCAUGGAUUUGCAGGCGCGGGAAGCAUGUGGAAGGCCGUGUUCGUGUUGCAGAGAAGGUUGGCUGCUGAGCCAGGGCGUGUCUGCAGGAGGCCUGCCAGGCUGCCCGGAUCCCCACCUCACCACCAUGGGCCACCCAGGCUGGUCAGUUCCAGUCCUUGAUUUCGCCACGGUUCCCUGCCCUUGGCACUGGGGGAAGGCCGGACCCAAUUGCUCAAGUCCCAGGUUUCUGGCAUCA
rnacentral:lncRNA from 1 species